UGAUGCAGCCUGCCGCGUGUGUGAGAGGCCUUCGGGUUGUAAAGCACUUUCUUAGGGAGGAAAAGUUGUAAGUUAAUACCUUGCAACCGUGACGUUACCUAUAGAAAAAGGACCGGCUAACUCCGUGCCCCCAGCCGCGGUAAUACGGAGGGUCCGAGCGUUAAUCGGAAUUACUGGGCGUAAAGCGCGCGUAGGCGGAUAGAUAAAUCAGAUGUGAAAUCCCCGGGCUCAACCUGGGAACUGCAUUUGAUACUGUCUAUCUUGAGUGUGGUAGAGGUGAGUGGAAUUUCAAGUGUAGCGGUGAAAUGCGUAUAGAUCUGAAAGAACAUCAGUGGCGAAGGCGACUCACUGGGCCAUUACUGACGCUGAGGUGCGAAGGCGUGGGUAGCAAACAGGAUUACAUACCCUGGUAGUCCACGCCCUAAACGAUGUCAACUAGGUGUAUGGAAUGAAUUUUCUGUGUAUCGAAGCUAACGCGAUAAGUUGACCGCCUGGGGAGUACGGUCGCAAGACUAAAACUCAAAGGAAUUUGACGG
rnacentral:rRNA from 1 species